rnacentral:pre_miRNA from 18 species
UCGUGAAGGCUAAAUGGAGAAGAGAGAGAGUACAGCUUUGGGCGGUUUAGUUGUUAGAUGGUGGAAGUACUUGCGACGCCUACUACCCUUUUCACCAAGGCUGUACGCUCCCUCUUCUUCUCUUAGCUUUUUAUG